GUGGGGAAUAUUGGGCAAUGGAGGAAACUCUGACCCAGCAACGCCGCGUGAAGGAUGACGGCCCUCGGGUUGUAAACUUCUGUAUUAAAGGAAGAAGAUAGUGACGGUACUUUAAUAGAAAGCUUCGGCAAACUACGUGCCAGCAGCCGCGGUAAUACGUAGGAAGCAAGCGUUGUCCGGAAUGACUGGGCGUAAAGGGUGCGUAGGCGGCCUUUUAAGUCUGAUGUGAAAUCCUGUGGCUCAACCAUAGAACUGCAUCAGAUACUGGGAGGCUGGAGUGCGGAAGAGGUAGACGGAAUUACUAGUGUAGCGGUAGAAUGCGUAGAUAUUAGUAAGAAGACCGGUGGCGAAGGCGGUCUACUGGGACGUAACUGACGCUGAGGCACGAAAGCGUGGGGAGCAAACAGGA
rnacentral:rRNA from 1 species